AGAGUUUGAUCCUGGCUCAGGAUGAACGCUGGCUGUGUGCCUAAUACAUGCAUGUCGAGCGAAGUUCUUCGGAACUUAGCGGCGAAUGGGUGAGUAACACGUACUUAACGUGCCCCUUAGAUUGGAAUAACGCUGAGAAAUUAGCGCUAAUGCCGGAUACUUAUUAAGUUCGCAUGAACUUAAUAUAAAAGGAGCGUUUGCUUCACUAAGGGAUCGGGGUGCGGAACAUUAGCUAGUUGGUAAGGUAAUGGCUUACCAAGGCGAUGAUGUUUAGCGGAGUUGAGAGACUGAUCCGCCACACUGGGACUGAGAUACGGCCCAGACUCCUACGGGAGGCAGCAGUAGGGAAUUUUCCACAAUGAGCGAAAGCUUGAUGGAGCGACACAGCGUGUGCGAUGACGGCCUUCGGGUUGUAAAGCACUGUUAUAAGGGAAGAAAAAGCAGUAGAGGAAAUGCUAUUGCCUUGACGGUACCUUGUCAGAAAGCAACGGCUAACUAUGUGCCAGCAGCCGCGGUAAUACAUAGGUUGCAAGCGUUAUCCGGAAUUAUUGGGCGUAAAGCGUCUGUAGGUUGUUUGUUAAGUCUGACGUCAAAACUUGGGGCUCAACCCCAAAUCGCGUUGGAUACUGGCAAGCUAGAGUUGUUUAGAGGUUAAUGGAAUUCCUUGUGAAGCGGUGGAAUGCGUAGAUAUAAGGAAGAACACCAACAUGGCGAAGGCAAUUAACUGGGAACACACUGACACUGAGAGACGAAAGCGUGGGGAGCAAACAGGAUUAGAUACCCUGGUAGUCCACGCUGUAAACGAUGAUGAUUAGUUGAUGGUGACCAUCGACGCAGCUAACGCAUUAAAUCAUCCGCCUGAGUAGUAUGCUCGCAAGAGUGAAACUUAAAGGAAUUGACGGGGAUCCGCACAAGCGGUGGAGCAUGUGGUUUAAUUUGAAGAUACGCGUAGAACCUUACCCACUCUUGACAUCUUCUGCAAAGCUAUAGAGAUAUAGUGGAGGUUAACAGAAUGACAGAUGGUGCAUGGUUGUCGUCAGCUCGUGUCGUGAGAUGUUCGGUUAAGUCCUGCAACGAGCGCAACCCCUAUCCUUAGUUAAAUGUUCUAGGGAGACUGCCUGGGUAACUGGGAGGAAGGUGGGGAUGACGUCAAAUCAUCAUGCCUCUUACGAGUGGGGCAACACACGUGCUACAAUGGAUGGUACAAAGAGAAGCAAUACGGCGACGUGGAGCAAAUCUCAAAAAACCAUUCUCAGUUCGGAUUGUAGUCUGCAACUCGACUACAUGAAGUCGGAAUCGCUAGUAAUCGUAGAUCAGCUACGCUACGGUGAAUACGUUCUCGGGUCUUGUACACACCGCCCGUCAAACCACGGGAGCUGGUAAUACCCGAAGUCGGUUUAGUUAACUACGGAAACGACCGCCUAAGGUAGGACUGGUGACUGGGGUUAAGUCGUAACAAGGUAUCCCUACGAGAACGUGGGGAUG
rnacentral:rRNA from 1 species